rnacentral:tRNA from 1 species
GGCAGAGUGGCUCAGUGGAAAGAGGACGGACUUUGGAGUCAGAGAUCAUGGGUUCGAAUCCCGCUCUGCCA